rnacentral:rRNA from 1 species
AACGAACGCUGGCGGCAGGCUUAACACAUGCAAGUCGAGCGCCCCGCAAGGGGAGCGGCAGACGGGUGAGUAACGCGUGGGAAUCUACCCAUCUCUACGGAAUAACGCAUGGAAACGUGUGCUAAUACCGUAUACGUCCUUCGGGAGAAAGAUUUAUCGGAGAUGGAUGAGCCCGCGUUGGAUUAGCUAGUUGGUGGGGUAAAGGACUACCAAGGCGACGAUCCAUAGCUGGUCUGAGAGGAUGAUCAGCCACACGGGGACUGAGACACGGCCCAGACUCCUACGGGAGGCAGCAGUGGUGAAUAUUGGACAAUCGGCGCAAUCCUGAUCCAGCCAUGCCGCGUGAGUGAUGAAGGCCCUAGGGUUGUAAAGCUCUUUCACCGGUGAAGAUAAUGACGGUAACCGGAGAAGAAGCCCCGGCUAACUUCGUGCCAGCCGCCGCCUUAACAC